ACUCCUCUGGAUCUGCAAAUGAAGAGGCCUCCAUUAAGCUUAAAGUGCCUGCAUGGGACAUCCUUGAAGCAACUCCCUUUGUUCUUGAUGCUGCUCUUACUGCCUGUGCUCAUGGACGAUUGUCCCCCCGUGAUUUGGCUACAGGCAAGUCUAAAACAUUCUUUUAAUAAGAAACAAGAGAUACUAAUUUACUACUUAGCAUAUAAUUUCUUUUUUUUUUUGUCUAUUCUAUUCUUAAUGAUUAAAUAUGAAAAUGACGUCCAUUUGUUGUGAUUUGCAAUUAAACUGAAUGCCAUUUCAUUAAUAAUAAAGUAGAUCACUAAUACCAUCCUUUCAAAAGAGGAAAAAUUAUGGAUUCUUGGCCCAAUCUUGUUGCUGUCUGCCGUCUUUUCUCCUUAGAAAGCUAUUGCAGUGUCCAACUAAAUCCAAUUUUCCUGCCUAUUAUUCCUCUCGCAACAGUUGCCUUAUCACAUCAUUCUCCACCUUUGACAGCCCAACCGGUCCCAUCAGCCCCAAUGUGUCCCUCUCACACAAGCUUUUUCACUCACACACGAAAUCUAGUCCCUCUAAUCCAACUGUUUUCUCCUCUCUCUUUCGCAAGCCAAGCCAUUCUCUCAAAUAACCCUCCCCCCUCCUCCUUCAUCCUUUUCAGCUUCAUGUCUCCUCACUUCUUCGUACCCAAACUGUUCCAACAUUAUCCGAACCUUUUCAUCAUUUGCCUCAAUGCACUGUUUUGAAACCCAGUGCCCUAAAUAUUCUAUUCUCUCUCUUAGAAAUGACGCUUCUUGGAGUUCACACGAACGGUUGGUGGUUUUUGAUUUUGAUAUUGUCUAUGGAACUGACAGACCGACUACACGAACGGUUGGUAAGUCUUGGGUGAAACUUCGCCGGAGCUGUACUGUUGUGAAGGAGAGACGCAUAAUGUGGUGGCACUGGUUUUCAGAGGGAGAACAGAAAGAGAAGAGGAAUAGGAGGAUGAGAAGGAAAAAUUAGGGAGAAAAAAACCACAGUUGUGGGGUGGUGCCGACAGUACUGAUCAGUGGGAUUCUGGCAAGAAAAAGAUUGGGGAGAAAUGUUGUCACUUGUAAUUGAAGAAAAGAAAAUCAGAAAGAAGAUAGAAAAAAAUGAAGAAAGAUGAGAAAAAUGAAAGAUGGACGUGAGGGAGACGGGAGCAGAUGGAGGA
rnacentral:lncRNA from 1 species